UAUAGAAAAACUUUGAACUAUAGUUUCAGUUUCAGUCUAAGGCCGUUUCUUCUCCACUUUUAUCAGCCGAUUCUUCUCCACUUUUAUCAUGCAACUUUAGAUUGUAAUCUAUCUAGCUUAUAAGGUGUUCUUGAGUAUU
rnacentral:sRNA from 1 species